UACGAAGGGGGCUAGCGUUGUUCGGAAUUACUGGGCGUAAAGCGCGCGCAGGCGGCUAUCCAAGUCAGUGGUGAAAGCCCGGAGCUCAACUCCGGAACUGCCAUUGAAACUGUUUAGCUUGAGGAUGAGAGAGGUGAGUGGAAUUCCCAGUGUAGAGGUGAAAUUCGUAGAUAUUGGGAAGAACACCGGUGGCGAAGGCGGCUCACUGGCCCGAUACUGACGCUGAGGUGCGAAAGCGUGGGGAGCAAACAGG
rnacentral:rRNA from 1 species